CUACGGGAGGCAGCAGUGGGGAAUCUUGCGCAAUGGGCGAAAGCCUGACGCAGCGACGCCGCGUGAGUGAUGAAGGCCUUCGGGUUGUAAAGCUCUGUGGGGAGAGACGAAUAAGUAGAAGCUAAUACCUUCUAUGAUGACGGUAUCUCCUUAGCAAGCACCGGCUAACUCUGUGCCAGCAGCCGCGGUAAGACAGAGGGUGCAAACGUUGUUCGGAAUUACUGGGCGUAAAGCGAGUGUAGGCGGUCCGAAAAGUCGGGUGUGAAAGCCCUGGGCUCAACCCAGGAAGUGCACUCGAAACUGCCGGGCUAGAGUACUGGAGAGGUUGAUGGAAUUCUCGGUGUAGAGGUGAAAUUCGUAGAUAUCGAGAGGAACACCGGUGGCGAAGGCGGCCAACUGGACAGAUACUGACGCUGAGACUCGAAAGCGUGGGGAGCGAACAGGAUUAGAUACCCUAGUAGUCC
rnacentral:rRNA from 1 species